CAGUAGCCGCGGGAACACAGAGGGUGCGAGCGUUAAUCGGAUUUACUGGGCGUAAAGCGUGCGUAGGCGGCUAAUUGAGUCGGAUGUGAAAUCCCCGAGCUUAACUUGGGAAUUGCAUUCGAUACUGGUUAGCUAGAGUGUGGGAGAGGAUGGUAGAAUUCCAGGUGUAGCGGUGAAAUGCGUAGAGAUCUGGAGGAAUACCGAUGGCGAAGGCAGCCAUCUGGCCUAAUACUGACGCUGAGGUACGAAAGCAUGGGGAGCAAACAGGAUUAGAUACCCGUGUAGUCCCUGUCUCUUAUAC
rnacentral:rRNA from 1 species